rnacentral:sRNA from 1 species
AGCGGAGGCAGGUUGCGGUGCUUGUGCUUCCUUCUACAGCCAACAUGAAAAGGCCUAAGUUAAAGAAAGCAAGUAAACGCAUGACCUGCCAUAAGCGGUAUAAAAUCCAAAAAAAGGUUCGAGAACAUCAUCGAAAAUUAAGGAAGGAGGCUAAAAAGCGGGGUCACAAGAAGCCUAGGAAAGACCCAGGAGUUCCAAACAGUGCUCCCUUUAAGGAGGCUCUUCUUAGGGAAGCUGAGCUAAGGAAAGAGAGGCUUGAAGAACUAAAACAGCAGCAGAAACUUGACAGGCAGAAGGAACUAGAAAAGAAAAGAAAACUUGAAACUAAUCCUGAUAUUAAGCCAUCAAAUGUGGAACCUAUGGAAAAGGAGUUUGGGCUUUGCAAAACUGAGAACAAAGCCAAGUCGGGCAAACAGAAUUCAAAGAAGCUGUACUGCCAAGAACUUAAAAAGGUGAUUGAAGCCUCCGAUGUUGUCCUAGAGGUGUUGGAUGCCAGAGAUCCUCUUGGUUGCAGAUGUCCUCAGGUAGAAGAAGCCAUUGUCCAGAGUGGACAGAAAAAGCUGGUACUCAUAUUAAAUAAAUCAGAUCUGGUACCAAAGGAGAAUUUGGAGAGCUGGCUAAAUUAUUUGAAGAAAGAAUUGCCAACAGUGGUGUUCAGAGCCUCAACAAAACCAAAGGAUAAAGGGAAGAUAACCAAGGUAUCCUUUAUUAGUGGUAAGAAAUGUGAUUCUUUCAGAUUUUGGUUGAAAUAUGAUGAGUGUACAAAAUCUUGAUUUAAGUAAAUGAAAAAUUACAAGAUCCAACUCUGAUUUCAGCCAGAGAUCAUCUGAAAGGCAAUGUAGUUAUCUUAAGAGCUGGGCUCUGGAGCCUGAUUGCUUGGGGUUUGUUGAAAUUUAUCAGGUAAGUUGCCAGAAUAAUUCAACUAUUUGGAAUUUUAGCGUGUGAAGGCAAAGAAGAAUGCUGCUCCAUUCAGAAGUGAAGUCUGCUUUGGGAAAGAGGGCCUUUGGAAACUUCUUGGAGGUUUUCAGGAGACUUGCAGCAAAGCCAUUCGGGUUGGAGUAAUUGGUUUCCCAAAUGUGGGGAAAAGCAGCAUUAUCAAUAGCUUAAAACAAGAACAGAUGUGUAAUGUUGGUGUAUCCAUGGGGCUUACAAGGAGCAUGCAAGUCGUCCCCUUGGACAAACAGAUCACAAUCAUAGAUAGUCCGAGCUUCAUCGUAUCUCCACUUAAUUCCUCCUCUGCGCUUGCUCUGCGAAGUCCAGCAAGUAUUGAAGUAGUAAAACCGAUGGAGGCUGCCAGUGCCAUCCUUUCCCAGGCUGAUGCUCGACAGGUAGUACUGAAAUAUACUGUCCCAGGCUACAGGAAUUCUCUGGAAUUUUUUACUAUGCUUGCUCAGAGAAGAGGUAUGCACCAAAAAGGUGGAAUCCCAAAUGUUGAAGGUGCUGCCAAACUGCUGUGGUCUGAGUGGACAGGGUAAGCUUUCUUUUCUGUUGGCAUUUUGGUGACCACUAGAAUAAACCUUCUUUUGACACAUCUUAUUUUUAAUAUCAGUGCCUCAUUAGCUUACUAUUGCCAUCCCCCUACAUCUUGGACUCCUCCUCCAUAUUUUAAUGAGAGUGUUGUGGUAGACAUGAAAAGCGGCUUCAAUCUGGAAGAACUGGAAAAGAACAAUGCACAGAGCAUAAGAGCCAUCAAGGGCCCUCAUUUGGCCAAUAGCAUCCUUUUCCAGUCUUCCGGUCUGACAAAUGGAAUAAUAGAAGAAAAGGACAUACAUGAAGAAUUGCCAAAACGGAAAGAAAGGAAGCAGGAGGAGAGGGAGGAUGACAAAGACAGUGACCAGGAAAUUGUUGAUGAAGAAGUUGAUGAAAACAGCUCAGGCAUGUUUGCUGCAGAAGAGACGGGGGAGGCACUGUCUGAGGAGACUACAGCAGGUGAACAGUCUACAAGGUCUUUUAUCUUGGAUAAAAUCAUUGAAGAGGAUGAUGCUUAUGACUUCAGUACAGAUUAUGUGUAACAGAACAAUGGCUUUUUAUGAUUUUUUUUUAACAUUUUAAGCAGACUGCUAAACUGUUCUCUGUAUAAGUUAUGGUAUGCAUGAGCUGUGUAAAUUUUGUGAAUAUGUAUUAUAUUAAAACCAGGCAACUUGGAAUCCCCAAAUUCUGUAAAAAGACAAUUCAUCUCAUUGUGAGUGGAAGUA